CCUCAGAAGAGUGUUAGAGGCAAGACUAGAAUGUUAAUCUGAGAUGAGUGUAACUUUCUUCAGCAACCGUAUCUGGGGAGGAUUGCUGACCCAGCACUCACAUCCAGCUGCUCAUCUGCCCCACAAGCUUAGUGCUUAGGGCAAGGGGAGCCUCUUCACCAGGGUCCCUCAGACUCCCAGCCAACUGACUUGUCCUGCGAGUCAUUCUAACACUCUAGGUUAUCUAUUUCCUGUCGGAGCCACCUACUGAACUGAAAAAGGAAAGAAGAUCUGUUCUGAUAAGACUCCUAUUUAUUUUCCUUCUUUAACUGUGCAAAGAAGACUAGAUUAAGAUGAAAGCUGUAAAGAGACCACCCAGAAAGACAGCUGAGCUUUUAUCCAUUACUCAGCCUGCUUCUGAUAAAGGAUUACCCUGCAGCCUAGACAGUAUCCUGUUGCUCUGAGCAAGCCCAAGAGAAAGGCCAGUGGCAAGUGACUGUGCUGGGAAGGAAGACAAAUGAGUCCCUUUUCUGCAGGGCUCCUGGCAUCCUGUGGGAGGAAGGAAAGGACAAUGCUUUGAGGGAGCUGGCUCUGCUGACCCCCUCCUGGCGGGCUCUCCCCACCCCUUUCCGGUGCCUCGGGUUUGUCAGCCCCAAAGCCUGCACUUCCUGAGUAAUCAUUAGAUGCACGCGUGAGGUAUGUGGUUCCCCAGGCCCUGGGCAGAUUCCUGGCCCAGCCUCAAGAAGCACAGUGCAGACAAUCCUGGGCUGGGACCCUGAAACACAAGCGUCUUGGCUGCUUCUCUCUCCCUGCCGCCAUGGCUACUGCCAGAUCACUGCACAUCCCUGGGCCUCCAUUUGGCAUGUUUAGAAGUGCCUUCUGUGUGCCUGAAAUGGCCAUCUGUAUCAGCACUUCCUGAGCCUCGGGGGCACCAAAAUCACGUGGGGGCUUUGGAGCCCGCCACCCUGAAC
ensembl:lncRNA